GACGAACGCUGGCGGCGUGCUUAACACAUGCAAGUCGAACGAUGAAACCUAGCUUGCUAGGUCGAUUAGUGGCGAACGGGUGAGUAACACGUGACUAACCUGCCCCUUUCUCUGGGAUAACGCUCCGAAAGGAGUGCUAAUACCGGAUACUCACAUCGAGGCACAUGCCUUGGUGUGGAAAGUUUUUCGGAAAGGGAUGGAGUCGCGGCCUAUCAGCUUGUUGGUGAGGUAACGGCUCACCAAGGCGACGACGGUAGCCGGCCUGAGAGGGCGACCGGCCACACUGGGACUGAGACACGGCCCAGACUCCUACGGGAGGCAGCAGUGGGGAAUAUUGCACAAUGGGCGCAAGCCUGAUGCAGCGACGCCGCGUGAGGGAUGAAGGUCUUCGGAUUGUAAACCUCUUUCAGUAGGGACGAAGCGAAAGUGACGGUACCUAAAGAAGAAGCACCGGCUAACUACGUGCCAGCCGACGCUGUAA
rnacentral:rRNA from 1 species